rnacentral:tRNA from 1 species
GGGCCCAUGGUUCAAUGGUAGAACACUCGCAUUCUGUGCGAGAGACCCGCGCUCGAUCCGCGGUGGGUCCA